CUGGCGGCAUGCCUAAGACAUGCAAGUCGAACGAGGUGGCCCAGAGAUAUUAUUGAGAAUUGAAGUGCUUGCACGGAUAUAGGAUUAUUAGAUCUGGAUUUCCACCUAGUGGCAAACGGGUGAGUAACACGUGGGUUACCUGCCUCUAAGCUGGGGAUAACAGUUGGAAACGACUGAUAAUACCGAAUGUGCUCUACGGAGUAAAGAAGCCCUUAAAGCUUCACUUAGAGAUGGGCCUGCGGCGUAUUAGCUUGUUGGUGGGGUAACGGCCUACCAAGGCGACGAUGCGUAGCCGAACUGAGAGGUUAAUCGGCCACACUGGGACUGAGACACGGCCCAGACUCCUACGGGAGACAGCAGUUAGGAAUAUUCGUCAAUGGGGGAAACCCUGAACGAGCAAUGCCGCGUGAACGAAUGAAGGCCCUAUGGGUUGUAAAGUUCUGUUGUUUGGAAAGAACUGUAAGAUUAGGAAAUGAAUCUUACUUGACGGUACCAUUCAAGAAAGCCACGGCUAACUACGUGCCAGCCGCUGC
rnacentral:rRNA from 1 species